GAUGAACGCUAGCGGCAGGCUUAAUACAUGCAAGUCGUGGGGCAGCACAGUGUAGCAAUACAUGGGUGGCGACCGGCAAACGGGUGCGGAACACGUACGCAACCUUCCUUCAAGUGGGGGAUAGCCCGGGGAAACCCGGAUUAAUACCCCGUAAUACUAUUGAGUGGCAUCACUUGAUACUUAUAGCUCCGGCGCUUGAAGAUGGGCGUGCGCCUGAUUAGGUAGUUGGCGGGGUAACGGCCCACCAAGCCUGCGAUCAGUAACUGGUGUGAGAGCACGACCAGUCACACGGGCACUGAGACACGGGCCCGACUCCUACGGGAGGCAGCAGUAAGGAAUAUCGGUCAAUGGACGCAAGUCUGAACCAGCCAUGCCGCGUGGAGGAUGAAGGCCCUCUGGGUUGUAAACUUCUUUUAUCUGAGAAGAAACCGGACUUUUCUAAGGCCGUUGACGGUACCAGAUGAAUAAGCACCGGCUAACUCCGUGCCAGCAGCCGCGGUAA
rnacentral:rRNA from 1 species